UGAGAUGGUGUCCAGAGGCCAGCCGGGCCAUGCCAAGGUGAACUGGAGUCAGGUCUGAGUACCAGUCACACCAGCCUCAAGAACUACCAAGCUGCUGCACUGCUUGUGCGGUGCUGGUUUAUUCUGUCUCCAGCGCCACUGUCACCUUCUGGGAACAGGGGCUAAGGUGGUGGGAAGAGAAGGCGAAGCACCUGAAUCCAGACCUGAAGAGCAAUGGCUAGGAAUGGAUCCCGCUGUGUUGGUCCUCCCCUUUACGGACAUGAUGUGCCCCUUCCUGUUCUCACCCCUAAAGAAGAGAGAGCUGCUGGGCUCACUGAUCAACCCACUGUUCUGUGUUGAUUAAAUUUUACUCACAACAUCCCAAAAACUUCCCUCAACUACUGUAAAAUAAUAAAGUUAUUUUCAGAAUAA
rnacentral:lncRNA from 1 species